AGCAAAAUCAAACCGGAGGAAAGUUACUGUUUAUUACAUAUGGCAACAACUGUUCGCAAAACAUUUAAAGCAUGUUUCUCAUAUUGUUUUGUCUUUGUAAACUUAAAAUUUCAGGAUAUUUGCGAUGUUAGUUAAAUCUUAAACAUAAUUUAGUGUUGUUUUUUCCCCCUUCUUGCCUACUCCUUCUAAAGUGGACUAACCCUUUUAACUAUGAGUGAAUUAGACAAUUGGAAUCCAAUGGCUGAUGAUUUUGCUUGUCCGAAAUUCAACUCUUACAACAGGCAGUUCAGUUAUGAUGAC